GCCGUCAUAGCUCAGGGGUAGAGCACUUCCAUGGUAAGGAAGGGGUCGUUGGUUCAAUUCCAAUUGACGGCACCA
rnacentral:tRNA from 1 species